rnacentral:rRNA from 1 species
AUGGAACCAAUUACCGAGUGUUUGAAGAAAGGAAAGUUCCAAUGGACAGAAGCAGUUGAAGCUAGUUUCAAUGAGAUUAAACAAAAGCUAUCACAAGCUCAUGUCUUGGUGCUACCUGAUUUCAACAAGACUUUUGAGUUGGAGUGUGAUGCAAGUGGAGUAGGCAUUGGAGCAGUCCUAUCUCAAGAAAGGAAGCCCAUUGCUUUCUUUAGUGAGAAGUUAAGUGAAGCUAGACACAAAUGGAGUACCUAUCAGCAAGAAUUAUAUGUUGUUUUUAGAGCGUUGAAAACUUGGGAAGUCUAUUUGCUGCCUAAAGAGUUCAUUGUUUAUAGCGACCAUCAAUCCUUGAAGCAUUUUAGAAAUCAAAAGCAUGUUGACCGCAUGCUAGCAAGGUGGGCAACAUAUCUGGAGUGGUUUAAAUAUCUCAUCAUGCAUAAAUCUGGAAUAACUAACAGAGUGGCCGAUGCUUUGAGUCGUCAUGCAUGCCUCUUGACUUCUUUUGAAGCUGAACUUCCGGGCAUGGAUCAAAUAAAGGAGUUGUAUGAGGGUGACAAAGACUUUGGCCAUGUUUGGGUAAAGCACGCAAGGGUCCAACCAUUAGGUGAUGACCAUUUGAUGCAAGAUGGAUAUCUCUUCAAAAAUGAUCGUUUGUGCAUUCCAAGAAGUUCUCUAUGA